rnacentral:rRNA from 1 species
UACGUAGGGGGGCGAGCGUUUGUCCGGAUUUAUUGGGCGUAAAGGGUAGGUAGGUGGUCUCAUUUGUCAGGGGUGAAAGCCUUGGGCUUAACUCAAGAAGUGCCCCUGAAACGGUGAGACUCGAGUACUGGAGAGGGUCGUGGAAUUCCCGGUGUAGCGGUGAAAUGCGUAGAGAUCGGGAGGAACACCGGUGGCGAAGGCGGCAUCCUGGACCGGUAUUGACGCUGAGGCGCGAAAGCCAGGGGAGCAAACGGG